UGAAGAUUCUUCUCAUCUAACAACUCAAAUAAUUUACCACCUUCAACUGUAUGCGGAAAUUCGAGUGAGCUGGAGAUUUGUUCCAAUGUCUAAAUUGUUGGCAAACUAAUACAGGUUAUAUAAUAUCCAAUUGGAUGAGCAACUCGAAAAUCGACAAAAUAGCUUGCGAGACAGGUACCUAAAUGUAAGACAAUCACUGUAUUGCAUCCACAAGAGAGUUUCUUUGUUUUUGGGAUCUACCAUUAGGCAUCCGUAUGUAAUACUGAAGAAUGCGAU